GUUGCAUCUGUUCAUCAUCAUGGACUCUAUCAUUAUUAUUAGCUAAUGAGUUCGGUGACCGAUCAGGAAAUGUCUGCCAUCUUCCAACUCCAGCCCAAGCAGGUGACCAAUCAGACAUAACUGCAAACACCUGUAUGCAGCUGGAAAGGUCCCCAGCUCUCUUGCCGUCUGACAUACAACCGGAGCCGGGGAUCGAAUAGACAACCCUUUGAGUAGAGGAUGGCCCGGUGUGCCUCUUAAUGCUGUGGGUUAAUUGUUGGAGACACUAUGGUGGAAACCACGGGAUCAAAACAUAGAAGACAACUGAUCUCCCUGAGGCCUGAGGACCCUGGUUUCAGAUCAGUCAGUGUGGACACUAACAGAUCCUCCAGUCAACACCAGCUGGAGGACGUAUUUAUACCAGUGUUUUUUAGAAACUCCUUGUGCAUCAAUAAAUUAUUUUUAAUUAUUCUAUCAUAUAAAUAACAGCAGCAGUUUGAAAAAAAAAUGGGGGAAAUGAUUUUAGUCUAUUUUCAGAUACGGUAAAUCAGAGUGUGAUGGGAAACCAGGGAGAGAGCGAUGACAUGCAGCAAAGGGUCGCAGGUUGGAGUCAAACCCGAGCAUAUGGGGCCCACACUCCACUAGGUAAGCGAUCAGGACGUCCUGCAGUUAAAUGGGAAAGGCAUGUGACAUUAACUUUAUUAUAAGAAACCGAGAGCCUAUUUCCUUUUGACUUUCUGUCCCAAAAAACUUAUAUUUCUAUCAUAAAGUGUGCUCCUAGCGGGUUUAUUCCACAUUAAACACACAUGAAUUAGCAUUAGACCAAAGCUAACAUUCUGUAAGCAUGCUAACAUGAUCCUAACAUGGUGAUGUGUUUAAAGUAUGAUAUUUAUCAUGCUUACCUUCUUAGUUUAGCUUGUUAGCAUGCAAUGCAAUUGCAGCUGAGGCAGAUCAUAAUGUUUUUUAGUUUUGCUAAUAUCUGGUCAUGCAGAAUUGGGUGACACAUGAAUUUUGACCUGAAAGUGGUUGCAGAGGAGGAGUCAGGGGAUUAUUAGUCACACAAACCUAUUUCAGCAGCGCUGAGCCAGUGCUGGAGAAUGGUCUGGCCGCACCCAUUACAAUUAUCUGGCUUGUUUGGGUUUCUAUAAACCAAUCACUAUCGUCUUGAGCGGCUCAAAGCCAAGAAUGCAGCGAUGGUGCCCCUGCAAAAUAAUGUUGGCAGGAACUUGUCUUGGUGGAACACAAGUGAUUAGGGAGGAGAAUGCCACCUAGCGUUGCCAGAUAUACAGCCGUUAUUGCAUGAUUUGUAUGAUGACUUUACCCUCUGUAUGAUGCUCGACCAAUGAUGCUAAAAAUCAAUCGACCACUGUGAUUUCUACGUGUGAAUCUGGUUUUAGUCUAUGCUGCCUGUUUUAAUUUAUUUCCUGACACGAUAAUGACAGCAAAACAUAGAUCUGAGGUCUCACAUUGCCUCUUUUCAGCCAAUAAUGCUUUAUGUGGGCUUUAAAAAUGAACUUACC